ACGGAAGGCAGCAGUGGGGAAUAUUGCACAAUGGGGGAAACCCUGAUGCAGCAACGCCGCGUGAAGGAUGAAGGCCUUUGGGUCGUAAACUUCUGUUCUAAGGGAAGAUAAUGACGGUACCUUAGGAGCACGUCCCGGCUAACUACGUGCCAGCAGCCGCGGUAAUACGUAGGGGGCAAGCGUUAUCCGGAAUUAUUGGGCGUAAAGAGUGCGUAGGUGGUUUCCUAAGCAUGGGGUUUAAGGCAAUGGCUUAACCAUUGUUCGCCCCAUGAACUGGGUUACUUGAGUGCUGGAGAGGAAAGCGGAAUUCCUGGUGUAGCGGUGAAGUGCGUAGAUAUUAGGAGGAACACCAGUGGCGAAGGCGGCUUUCUGGACAGUUACUGACACUGAGGCACGAAAGUGUGGGGAGCAAACAGGAUUAGAUACCCUGGUA
rnacentral:rRNA from 1 species